GAAUAUUGGACAAUGGGGGGAACCCUGAUCCAGCCAUGCCGCGUGUGUGAAGAAGGCCUUUUGGUUGUAAAGCACUUUGAGCGAGGAGGAGGCUACUUAGAUUAAUACUCUAGGAUAGUGGACGUUACUCGCAGCAUAAGCACCGGCGUCUGCUGUGCCCGCAGCCGCGGUAAUACAGAGGGUGCAAACGUUAAUCGGAUUUACUGGGCGUAAAGCGCGCGUAGGUGGCCAAUUAAGUCAAAUGUGAAAUCCCCGAGCUUAACGUGGGAAUUGCAUUCGAUACUGGUUGGCUAGAGUAUGGGAGAGGAUGGUAGAAUUCCAGGUGUAGCGGUGAAAUGCGUAGAGAUCUGGAGGAAUACCGAUGGCGAAGGCAGCCAUCUGGCCUAAUACUGACACUGAGGUGCGAAAGCAUGGGGAGCAAACA
rnacentral:rRNA from 1 species